rnacentral:rRNA from 1 species
GGACCCGCACAAGCGGUGGAACAUGUGGUUUAAUUCGAUGAUACGCGAAGAACCUUACCUGGGUUUGACAUGUUAGUGAAAGUUUUCUGAAAAGAAUUCCCUUUAAGAGCUUGCUCUUAAACACUAUCACAGGUGGUGCAUGGCUGUCGUCAGCUCGUGUCGUGAGAUGUUAGGUUAAGUCCUGCAACGAGCGCAACCCCUAUAUUUAGUUGCCAGCACAUAAUGGUGGGGACUCUAGAUAGACUGCCCGGAAUAACCGGGAGGAAGGUGGGGAUGAUGUCAAGUCAGUAUGUCCCCUUAUACCCAGGGCUACACACGUGUUACAAUGGAUAGUACAAAAAGUCGCAAUCCCGCGAGGAGGAGCCAAUCUCACAAAACCGGUCGUAGUCCGGAUUGCAGUCUGCAACUCGACUGCAUGAAGCUGGAAUCGCUAGUAAUCGCGGAUC